GACGAACGCUGGCGGCGUGCUUAACACAUGCAAGUCGAACGGUGAAGCGCCUUCCUUUUUGGUGGGUGUGGAUGAGUGGCGAACGGGUGAGUAACACGUGAGUAACCUGCCCCCUUCUUCUGGAUAACCGCAUGAAAGUGUGGCUAAUACGGGAUAUUCUGGGUCUGUCGCAUGAUGGGUCUGGGAAAGAUAUUGUUUCGGUGGGGGAUGGGCUCGCGGCCUAUCAGCUUGUUGGUGGGGUGAUGGCCUAGCAAGGCGGUGACGGGUAGCCGGCCUGAGAGGGUGGCCGGUCACACUGGGACUGAGACACGGCCCAGACUCCUACGGGAGGCAGCAGUGGGGAAUAUGGCACAAUGGGGGCAAGCCUGAUGCAGCGACGCCGCGUGAGGGAUGGAGGCCUUCGGGUUGUGAACCUCUUUCGCCAGUGAAGCAGGCCUGCCUCGUUUGUGGGUGGGUUGACGGUAGCUGGAGAAGAAGCGCCGGCUAACUACGUG
rnacentral:rRNA from 1 species